rfam:Ictidomys tridecemlineatus contig103723, whole genome shotgun sequence.
UGGGUUGUGGCUCAGCAGUAGAGUGUUCACCUAGCACGUGCGAGGCCCUGGGUUCAAUCCUCAGCACCACAU